rnacentral:rRNA from 1 species
AAAGCGGUCGCCGAAGGAGGGGUUUUUGCGUCUGAUUAGCUAGUUGGAGGGGUAACGGCCCAACAAGGCGACGAUCAGUAGCCCGGUCUGAGAGGAUGAACGGCCACAUUGGGACUGAGACACGGCCCAGACUCCUACGGGAGGCAGCAGUGGGAAUCUUCCGCAAUGGACGAAAGUCUGACGGAGCAACGCCGCGUGAGUGAAGACGGUCUUCGGAUUGUAAAGCUCUGUUAUACGGGACGAACGGCAAGGUGGUAAAUAGCCAUCAUGAGUGACGGUACCGUAAGAGAAAGCCACGGCUAACUACGUGCCAGCAGCCGCGGUAAU